GAUGAACGCUGGCGGCGUGCCUAACACAUGCAAGUCGAACGAAGCACCUUACCUGAUUCUUCGGAUGAAAGUUUGGUGACUGAGUGGCGGACGGGUGAGUAACGCGUGGGUAACCUGCCCUGUACAGGGGGAUAACAGCUGGAAACGGCUGCUAAUACCGCAUAAGCGCACGAGGAGACAUCUCCUUGUGUGAAAAACUCCGGUGGUACAGGAUGGGCCCGCGUCUGAUUAGCUGGUUGGCAGGGUAACGGCCUACCAAGGCAACGAUCAGUAGCCGGUCUGAGAGGAUGAACGGCCACAUUGGAACUGAGACACGGUCCAAACUCCUACGGGAGGCAGCAGUGGGGAAUAUUGCACAAUGGGGGAAACCCUGAUGCAGCAACGCCGCGUGAGUGAAGAAGUAUUUCGGUAUGUAAAGCUCUAUCAGCAGGGAAGAUAAUGACGGUACCUGACUAAGAAGCUCCAGCUAAAUACGUG
rnacentral:rRNA from 1 species